rnacentral:ncRNA from 1 species
UCAAAGGGGAGCUUGUGUGACAGGCUGAGAGGAAGGUAUCACCUUCGACCCAUAACCUGAUUUGGAUAAUGCCAACGUAGGGAAGAAUAUGUUU